GGGGCAGGUGGCAGCCAGCAGUCAGGGCGACAAGCUGCAGCGCAGGUUAGCGGCGGAGCCACCAAUAUGGCAAGGUACGGCGAUCGUAAAACCUGCCCGGCCGGUGACUCACAAGCUAAUUUCUAGUAUAUUUAUAUAUGUAUUUGAUGAUUAUAUCUAUGUUAUUUGAUAAUUAUAAUAUAUUAUAAUUUUUUAUAGUAUGCAUGUGUUUUAAUAUAAAUCAGUAGCAGGCUCGCUAUAGGUUGAUUUUGGUCCUCGCUCCGCCGGUGGCGCACGGGGCAGCUGCGCAGGCGCAGCGGACGACGGAGGCAGCGGAAUGCGUGAUCGCCGGCGAGGUAAGGCUGUCUCCAGCAGCGUUCUGUAAAGCGUUCUGUACUCUAUAUAUAGAGGAAGAUUCCGUUCUCUAUUGCUCCAGCAGCGUUAUCUAAAUGGUCCUCUAAAUUAGAGAACGCUACAGGUUUCCUAUAUAUAGAGAUUCUCUCUCCUCUUCUCUAUUUUUUCUUUACGUUUCAAACACUGAAUUAAAUAAAAAUAAAAUAUGUCUAUAGCGUUUGAGGUAUGA
rnacentral:lncRNA from 1 species